rnacentral:lncRNA from 1 species
GGGAAGGUAAUCGACAUAACCCCUGGUCUUAGUGCUUUCCUGACUUGUGCUAUGAAAAAGCUUACCUUCUCAAAGAAGAAGAUGGUACCACUGCAAUUGUCACCUAAAAAGGAGAACCUCGAUUAUCUGGUAAACUUAGUGAAAGACGGGAAGCUUAAGACGGUAAUCGAUUCAAAGUAUCCCCUAAGUAAGGCUGAGGAAGCAUGGGCUAAGAGCAUUGAUGGUCAUGCCACUGGUAAGAUCAUUGUGGAGCCUUAAUCUAUGAAAUAUUACUUUUUACUUACUACAGUGAUGCUUGGUGGUCAUGCUGCUUGUGUGUAUAAUUGGGAUUUGUGUAUCUUAAAAAUUAUGUGUAUGAAAUGUAUGGUUAAUAUACACAUUGGAUGACAUUGCAAAAAUUUCUUAAUGUGUUAUAAGCUUUGUAUUCACAAAUUUAGCUCUUGUUUUAUAUGUUUCCUACUUUUCCUUACUUUUUCUAGUUGAUAAAUUGAGCAAUGAAAUGUUGUUAUGACUUAGAUUUAUAUGUGUUUUUUUUUUCAUGUCUAUUUUAUAAUUUAUAUUCGGAAUUAAUAGCCAUAUUUUUUAAUAAUCUCGAUUUUAAGAUUAAAAAUACUUGUUGAAACUUGUAUGGCUUUUCACUGGUAGCAUAUUUCAAAAUUUUUUAAAAUUAAAAUUGUACUUAUAAAUUAAAUUGCUUGUUAAUAAUAUCUAUUAUAUAUAAUAUUUGAAAGUUUAUUGAGCAAAUUUUUUAUGAAUUAUAUUUUAUUAAAAAAUAUUUAAAAUUUAUUAAAUUACUUUUUUUAUCUUAUUUUCAAUUAUUUAUUGUAACACAUUAAUUUUUAUUUUUAUAGGAUGUAAUAAAAAAUAAAAAAUUAAUUAUAUAAAUAAGUGUGAACAAUUUAUACAUAAUACAAAAGUUAAUAACGAAAAUUAAUCUAAACUAUUAAAAACUAUUAAAUCUUGUCACACAUAAUAUAGGUGAAAAUGCAUGUAACAAAGUUUUAAAAAAAUGAAAAACAUUGAUAUGAUAACAAAAAAUGGAGUUAGAAAAAUAAAAAAAAUAAUAUUUUAUGUUCAGGUUUCAUUAUAUUUAUCUAUUUUUCUAGAUUUUAUAUAAAAAACAAAUAAAAUUACCCUUAAAAUUAUUUCUAUUACUAAUUAAAAAUAAUAAUUUUUUAAUAAAUUCACUCUUAAAUAUAGUGGAAUAAUAAAUAAUAGAUAAAUAAUAUAUUUACUCAUAAGUCUUCUCUCAAUUUAUAAAUAAAAGAAUAAUGUAUUUUAGCAUACUUAAACUUUCAUUCUCUUAUAUUAAUAAUAAUAUUCAUAUAAAUCAAACAAAUACUCAAUUUAACUUCACUCUAAGUUUAUAAUAUAUUAGAGAAUUAAAUAUGGUAACAGAUAAUAGAUAACAAAUUAAACAUUUCGAGAGAUUUCUUGCAAAAUCAUCGAGGGUGUAUCCGUCAAGUCAACCAUGUGGUCCCCAUUUGUUUAAAUGGUUAUGGCUAUCGCCUAGCAGUUAACAAUACGAAUCCCCACCUACGUUAUCCUCCGCCAUUCUCUGAACUUUAUUUUUCCUUCGAAAAAAAAAAACAAAACAAAACAAAAAAACUUCGAUUUUAUCUCUUUUAACGAAAAAAAUGGCUGAAAAUCUUAUGCAUGCUUUACAAUAUAACAGCUAUGGCGGAGGCGCUGCUGGUUUGAAGGUAAAUAUCUACUUUCUUAUGAUGAUUUAUUUUGCUUUCCGUAGUGUUUUGUCGCAUAUAUAAUUUUGUUUAGUUGAGAUAUUAAUUCGUUUUUUAAGUGAAGAUUGCAAAAGGUUUUUAAUCUAGUGUUUAUAUUGAUCUAAGUUUGCUCUUCGGAUUCAAAAUACUAUCAGUUAAAUUUGUGAUUGAAAAAGCAUGAAGAUGAUUUCAGUGAGUGCCGUGAGUUACUAUGGAAGUGGAAUUUUCUGGAACGGAAAUGAACUAGGGAUUUGCUAUUCGGAAUUAAAAUUUCACAAAAAGGAUCUGAGAUUGAGAGGAUGACUUGAUAGUUAAAUGUUGAGCGAUUUUAUCGUCGGAUUCAAAAUUUUAUUUGUUAAAUUUGUGAUGGAAAGCAUAUGGAUAAUUUGAAUGAGUGCUGCGAGGCAGUAGGAUAGUGGAAUUUUCUGGAAUGGGAGUAAAUUAAGGAUUUGCUCUUUUGAAGAGAUCUGAGACUGAGGCUGGUACUUGACAGUGAAGUUGAGUGUUUAAAUUUUUUAUAUGGACCUGCUUGAUAUAAGCUUGAAAAACUAAUAGCCAGCGACUUGAUGUCAUAACGGCUUUGAAUUUUUUUGUGCUUGUUACAGCAUGUUGAAGUUCCGAUCCCCACUCCAAAUCAAGGUGAAAUUUUGCUUAAACUGGAGGCAACUAGUCUAAACCCAGUUGACUGGAAAAUACAGAAAGGGAUGCUGCGCCCAUUUUUACCUAGAAAAUUCCCCUACAUACCUGGUAGUUUAUUUAUUUUAUCCUUUCACGACUGUUUUGGUCUUGAAAUAUUAUCGAGACUCUUUUACUUUUACUUGGUUAGUGGUAUUUGUAUUUAAUUUACACUAUCUGUUAAGUAUCUGAAGUUACAUCAGUCUUCAAUAUCUGGGUUUGUUGUAGUACCAUGUCAAAUUCCCAAUCAGUAUUCAACUUGGAAUCUAAUUUGCUUCGAUUUACAUUGUGAAGUUUGCUUUAGUAGUAACAAUUGAUGGGAAGAAAUGUGUAUUUGUUAACUCAAGUUUUUAUUAAAGGACAGAAUUUGUCUAUUUGUUAAGGCAUAUCUUUUUUCUAUAAUUAACCAACAUAAUAAUAGACUGGUUGGUAGGUCUCCUAGGUUAAGCAGUUGUGGUUAUUUGAUGGUAAUUUUUGGCAUCCUAUUGUCAUGGAAGAUUUGAUAUCUCAAACAAAAGUUGUCUAUAUAUCGUUUGCAAAUUAUAUUAAAGAACCCAUCAUCAGUAAGCUUUGUAGUUUUCUCUGUCUAUAUUUGGAUUGCUGCAUUUUAAGCAUUGGUCAAAGAAAAUUUUUUUCAUGUGCAGCUUCUGAUGUAGCGGGAGAAGUUGUAAAAGUUGGACCGGGAGUCACAAAUUACAAAGCUGGGGAUAAAGUUGUGUCUAUGCUCCAUCAUUUUGUAAGUUCUCAUUCUCAUUCUCAAUCCUUCCCCCCACCUGAAAAAAAAAAUUAGCAUAAAAGGUCUGGCCCUUAGGCUCUCAACUGGCAUGUCAUUAAUCAUUCUGAGAACAAUCAGAAAGGAGAUUUCUUCAUGAAGAGUGGAAGAAUCACCGGCAUUUUACUAGCUUAAUAGAUCACAAUUUGAAAAAUAGUUAAUGAUAUUUGUGUUUUUGGUAUUAGCUCAAGCAAUUAAUUGAGCACCGUGCUUGGUAGGACUUUAGGCAACAAUUCUUGAGGUAAAAUAUGGAUCUCCUUAUGGCCAAAAAAUCAACUUCAGAAUCCAACAAUGACAGAACAACAUAAAUUGUAGCCCCAUAAAAAGGAUUUUUAUGGACUGGUUCUACAUUUUUUGUUCUAAAUAAACCAUGUUGAUCUUCCAAUGAGUGAUCUUGAUUAGCUCUAGUUAUGAGAACUGGUUAGCAUUGGCCUGCUUGCCUGAUUAGAUUAAUCAAAGUAAAUUGAAGCUGUCAUCCCCAGAAUUUGAAAUCCUGAAAGCUUUUGGCUUUCUUUAUUUUGCUUGUAUUGAUAGUGAUGCUAGAGAAAUAUAGGUAUAUUCGAUGUUUCACUGGCCUUAUUACAACUAUAGGAUUAUCCUGAGACCCCAGAUUUUAUUACAACUUCUACUUUUCAUAUCGAGUCAUAUCGUGUUUAGAAUGCAAAAACUAUCUACGUGGAUAUCAUUUCUGAGGUAGUGAUUUUACUCUCAUCAUGUGGCCAUUUGGCUGAGAGAAACUUAGAUAUCAUUACUGCAGGCCAGUGGUUCGGUGAAUUUAUCUUCUAUUCGUAUUAUCAAUGAAUCAGUAUCAGUUAUGUCGAUUGCUAUGGCUAUCUUCUAUUAUGAAUUAUUUGCAAUGAUAGACUGGAGGUGGACUAGCUGAAUAUGCUGUGGCUAAGGAGAAUCUGACCGUUGCAAGGCCACCAGAAGUAUCAGCUGCCGAAGGUGCAGGUUUGCCUGUUGCUGGUCUUACAGCUCACCAGGCACUCACCCAGUCGGCUGGGGUCAAGCUUGAUGUAAGUGGCCAGCAAGUAAACCUCUUGAUUACUGCUGCUUCAGGUGGUGUAGGUCAAUAUGCAGUUCAACUAGCAAAGCUUGGAAACACCCAUGUGACAGCCACUUGUGGGGCUCGCAAUCUGGAUUUUGUCAAAAGCCUCGGAGCAGAUGAGGUUCUUGACUACAAAACUCCCGAUGGUGCAGCUCUAAAAAGCCCUUCGGGUCGCAAAUAUGAUGCAGUGAUCCACUGUGCAAUGGGCAUUCCUUGGUCUACCUUUGAACCUAAUCUAAGUUCAAACGGGAAGGUAAUCGAUAUAACCCCGGGUCCUAGUGCUCUGCUAACUUUUGCUAUGAAAAAGCUUACCUUCUCAAAGAAGAACCUGGUACCACUGCUAUUGUCACCUAAGAAGGAGAACCUUGAAUAUCUCGUUAACUUAGUGAAAGAUAAGAAGCUUAAGACGGUAAUUGAUUCAAAGCAUCCCUUAAGUAAGGCUGAAGAAGCAUGGGCUAAGAGCAUUGAUGGCCAUGCCACUGGUAAGAUCAUUGUGGAGCCUUAAUCUAUGAAAUAUUACUUUAUACUUACUACAGGGAUGCUUGAAGGACAUAUUGCUUGUUUGUAUAAUUAUGAUUUUUUUGCACUUUGAAAUUUAUGUUUAUGGAAUGUUUGGUUAAUAUAUUGCAAAAUUUUCUUAACGUGUUGUAAGCUUCGAAUUCACAAAUUUAACUCUGCUUUCAUGUGGCUCCUACAUCUCCUUGCUUUUCUUGCUUGAUAAUUUGAACAAUGAAAUGUUGUUGGAAGUUGGACCAUCUAGUGUUUUUUAUUUCCCAGUUAAUGGUUAUUUUUCCUUGUAAUAUCAUUUUCAAGGUUUAAAUUUGCAAUAUUUCUUUGAUAGUGUAGUGUCUCUUAUCAUUACAUUUAAUACUUGUUGGUAUUUGUAUACUUUUUUAUAUUCCAAUUUUUUUUAAAUUAAAAUUUUGCUUUAUCAAUAUUUAUGAUAUUAAAAUAUUUGAAAGUUUAAUUUUGUCAAUUUUAUUUAGUUCUAAAAUAUUUAAAAAUGAUUAAAUUUUUUUUAUUGUAACACAUUAAUUUUGAUUUUUAUCGUUGUCAAUUAAAUUGAUCUUGUGACAUUAAAUUAUUCAUCAGUUAAAAUUAUAUCUUUGUAGAGUUUUUAAAAAUAAUAUAUGGAAUAAUUAUUGUUUAAGUACAUAUUGUACAUCUGUUACCUUCUCAUCAGUUUGUACUGAUGAUUAAGAAUCAUGCAAUCUAUGGUUGAUGUAUGCGAUUCAAUCAAAAAUCUAUCAUCAUAGUUCAUGCAUUGACUAAUCAUUUCAACUGAUUUUUUUAGCCUUGACUAUAAUAAUUUAUUGGUCAAAUUUUACUUAUUUGUACUUGUAGUAUGCGUAAGGUAUGAGUCUAAUUUUUAUAAUUUAAUUUAUAAAAUUUUUGAAUUGAUUUGUUUUAGUUAUUAUGAUAAUAAUUAAAUUUAUUUCAAUUAAAUUUUAUUUUAAUUUUAUAUUAUGUUUAAAGUUGUAAAAUUUAUCCAUAUUCUCUUAUUUAGUAAAUCUUAGUUUUUCAAAAUUUGAAAUUUUAGUCUUGACGUAAAUGAUAAUCACUAAAUCUAUUAAUUGAUUUUUAUGAGUGAUAUGUUAAAAUAACAAGUUAACAUUGACAUAAUAUAUUUACCGCAUAAAAUUUUAAAAAUAAUAUAACUUAGUUUAACCAUUAUUAUUUAGUUAAAAUUUUAAAAAAUAAAUAUUCAAAAUCAAACAAGUUAAAGUAAAAAACUAAACACACAACUUUUAUAUAUAUAGUACAAUAAUAAAUAGUAUAAAUAAAUUUAAUCUAUUAACAAUUAUUAGAUUUCGUCAUAAGGGUGAAAAAUGUAUGUAAUAAAUAUAAUAACAAAAAAUAGUUUUGGAUGAAGUGAUAAAGUUAAAAGAUUAAAAAUCAUAAUGUUUUGAGUUUAAAUCCCAUUAUCAUGGCUAUCUAAUUUUUUAGAUUUUAUAUGUAAAAGGAUAAAAUUACCUUUAAAAUUAUAUUUAGUAUUGAUUUAAAUGAGAAGUUUUUGAAAUAUUGACAGAUGUAGUGUAGAGCAGGUUGAGCUUUGGGCGAUUUAUGAUGGACUCCUUCUGACGUGGGUGUUAAUUGGGCUAAUAUUAUUGUCGAUAAGAAUUGCGCUCAAGCUGUGGAAGCCAUUUUAGAUAAAUCUUCUGGGCAUUUGAACAGGGAUUUGGUCUUGAGAAUCCAGGAGUUAUGUAGGAGAUAAUGGUAGGUGAUCAUACAACAAACUCUUAAAAAAGCCAAUGUAGCUGUGCUUACACUAGUUAGGAUGAUGAGAGCUUUCCCUUAUGGUCUGAUAGCGUUUACGGAGACUUCGACAGUGGUCGUGGAGCAAUUACGAUUGAAUGUUCGGCUUAUGUGUGAUGAUAUUAGAAUAAUUUUAUAAUUGCUUCCAUUUUUUUAUCUAAAAAAAUAAGAAGUUUUUAAUAAAUUCAUUAUUGAGUUGUGACUCAAUUGAAAAUGAUAUUAAUUUAAUAAAAGACUUAAAUAUGAUAAUAAACAUUUAAAUAUGAUAAUAGAUAAAUAUUUUUUAAAUAUGAAAUAAAUAAUACAACUUUAGCAGCUACCAAAUUCAACAUUUCAAGAGAUUUCUUGCAAAAUCAUCCAGGGUAUAUCCGUCAAAUUAACAAUGUGGUCCCCAUUUGUUUAUAUUGUUAUGGCUAGCGGUUAACAAUACAAUUCGCUCCUACGGCAUCCAUACGACAUUCUUUGAACUUCAUUUUUUCUUAUAAAAAAAAGCUUCGAUUGAUCUCUUUUAGUGAAAGAAAUGGCUGAAACUCUUAUGCAUGCUUUACAAUAUAACAGCUAUGGCGGAGGCGCUGCUGCUUUGAAGGUAAAAAUCUACUUCAUUAUGAUGAUCCAUUUUGCUUUCUUUUACUUUUUUCUUACUGUUUUAUCAUAUAAGUUUAGUUCCUUUUUUUAGUGGAGACUUCAAUUAAGGUUGUUAAUCUAGUGUUUAUAUUGAUCUAAGUUUGCUCUUCGGAUUCAAAAUUCUAUUAGUUUAACUUGUGAUUGAAGAAAGCAUGAAUAUGAUUUCAAUGAGUGCCGUGAGUUAUUAAGGAAUUGGAAUUUUCUGGAACGGAAAUGAACUAUAGGGAAUUUGCUAUUCGGAAUUAAAAUUUCACGACAAGGAUAUGAGAUUGUGAGGUUGACUUGAUGGAGAAGUUAAGUGUUGACCGAUUUUAUCGUCGGAUUCAAAAUUUUAUUUGUUAAAUUUGUGAUUGAAAGCAUAUAGAUAAUUUGAAUGAGUACUCCGAUGCACUAGGAUGCUGGAAUUUUCAGGAAUUGAAGUAAAUUAAGUAUUUGCUCUUUGGAAUUAAAAAUUCCAAAAAAGAUCUGUGACUUAUGGGCUAGGACUUGAUAGUGAAGUUAAGUGUUAACUGAUUUUAUCGUCGGAUUCAAAAUUCUAUUAGUUAAAAAAUUGUGAUUGAAAGCACAUUCUGGAACGGAAGUAAAUAAGGAUUUGCUCUUGGAAGAGAUCUGAGACCGAGAGGUUGAUAGGUUGAUACUCUUUUUAUUUUUAUUUUUUAAAUUUAAUCGGCAUGCUUUAUUAAUACCACAAAACAAGACAAAAUUGGUUGUUUGGAAAACUCCACCCACAGCAACACUAAACCACCAAAAACAAACAAUUAAAACAAAAGAAAUUUUUUAUAUGGACCUGCUUGAUAUAAACUUGAAAAGAAAAUUUACCAGUGACUUGAUGUCAUAACAGCUUUGAAUUUUUUGUGCUUGUUACAGCAUGUUGAAGUUCCAAUACCCACUCCAAAUAAAGAUGAAAUAUUGCUUAAACUGGACGCAAUUAGUCUAAACCCAGUUGACUGGAAAAUACAGGAAGGGGUGCUUCGUCCAUUUUUACCUAGAAAAUUCCCCUGCAUACCUGGUAGUUUAUAUAUUUUGUUCUUUUCACUUUUUCUGUCUUGAAAUUUUCUUGAGAAUUUUUUUUGUCAAUGAUGUUUGAACCGGAUCAGACUGGCCAGUUAGACUAGGAAUAGGCCAAGGUAUUGAUCCGGAGAAUGACUUUGAAUAGAUACGGACCAGUUGAACCAACGGUUGGAUUGGGAACUAGUCUAGGUAUCAGUUUAGAGAAUGACUUUGAACUGGUUUGGAUUGGGAACCAGUACUGGCCGGUUCAACAGAUUAAAAAACCAGUUGAACCGAGUAUUUUUAGUUUUUUUUUUUAAUUGAACCAAUCGAAUUCAUCAAACCAGCGAACGAGUGGCCUGAUUUCUAAAACACUAUUGUUAAGUAUAUCUCAAGUUACGUGAGUCUUCACAAUCUGUUUUUGUUGUAUUACUAUGUUGAAUUCCCUAGCAGGGCUUUCUGAAAAAUUUACUUAGUAUCUGCCGGAUUAUUCAACUUGUAAUCUAAUUUGCGUCGAUUUACAUUGUGGAGUUUGCUUUAGUGGUAACUAUUGAUGGGAAAAGAAUGUGUCUAUUUAACUCAAGUUAUCAUUAAAGGACAGAAUUUGUCUAUUUGUUAAGGCAUAUCCUUUUUCUAUAAUUAACCAACAUAAUAAUAAGCUGGUUGGCAGGUCUCUUAGUUUAAGCAAUUGUGGUUAUUGAUGGUAAUUUUGGCACCCUCUUGUCAUGGAAGAUUUGAUAUCUUAAAUAUAUUUUUUUUGCAGCUAGUGAUGUAGCAGGAGAAGUCGUAAAGAUUGGACCAGGAGUUACAAAUUUCAAAGCUGGGGAUAAAGUUGUAGCCAUGCUUCAUCAUUUUGUAAGUUCUAGUUCUCAUUCUUAAUCCCCCCCUCCCCAAGUCAGCAUAAAAAGUCUGGCCAGUAGGCUUAGUUUUCAGAAUCAGAUAGGUGGUUGAACUGAUGAUACCACCAUUUUGAUUAAAUAAUUAAUUAAAAAAUAUAUAAAAUAUAAAAUAUAAAAUCUGAUUUAAGUGGUUCAACCAGUCCGUAUUGAUUCCUGAGUCAAAAGGUUCAAAGCCUUCUUCCGGAUAGGUACUCUAGCUGGAUCUUUGUCCAACAGUCCGAUCAGCUGGUCUAAUCUGGUUCAAACAAUCUUGCCGGCAUGUCAUUAAUCAUUCUGAGAACAAUCAGAAAGGAGAUUUCUUCUUGAAGAGUGGAAGAAUCACCAGUAUUUUACUAGCUUAAUGGAUCACAAUUUGAAAAAUAGUCAAUGAUAUUUGUAUUUUUGGUAUUAGCUCGAGUAAUUAAUUGGGCGUUGAGCUUGGUAGGACUUUAGGCAACAAUUCUUGAGGUAAAAUAUGGAUCUCCUCAUGGCCAAAAGAUCAACUUUUGAAUCCAAUAAUGAUGGAAUGCGCGUAAAUUGUAGCCCCAUAAAAAGAAAUUCUAAGGACUGGUGCUACAUUUUUUGUUCUAGUAAACCAUGUUGGUCUUCCAAUGAGUGAUCUUGAUUAGCUUAGUCAUGAGAACCGCUUAGAAUUGACCUGCUUGCCUGUUUGGAUUAAUCGGUAUCGUGUUUAGAAUGCAACCAUCCUUUGUCUACGUGACUAUCAUUACUCUCAUUAUGUGGCCAUUUGGCUGAGAGAAACUUAGAUAUCCUUACUGCAGUCCAGUGGUUCAGUGAAUUUAUCUUCUAUUUAUAUUAUCAACGAAUCAGUAUCAGUUAUGUCGAUUGCUAUGACUCUCUUCUAUAAUGAAUUAUAUUUACAAUGAUAGACCGGAGGUGGACUAGCUGAAUAUGCUGUGGCUAAGGAGAAUCUGACAGUUGCAAGGCCACCAGAAGUAUCAGCUGCCGAAGGUGCAGGUUUGCCUGUUGCUGGUCUCACAGCUCACCAGGCAGUUUCCCAGGCAGCUGGGGUCAAGCUUGACGGAAGUGGCCAGCAAGUAAACCUCUUGAUUACUGCUGCUUCAGGUGGUGUAGGUCAUUACGCAGUUCAACUAGCAAAGCUUGGAAACACACAUGUAACAGCCACUUGUGGGGCUCGUAAUCUGGAUUUUGUCAAAAGCCUUGGAGCAGACGAGGUUCUUGACUACAAGACUCCCGACGGGGCAGCUCUGAAAAGCCCUUCGGGUCGCAAAUAUGAUGCAGUGAUCCACUGUGCAGCGGGCAUUCCUUGGUCUACCUUUGAACCUAAUCUAAGUUCAAAUGGGAAGGUAAUCGAUAUAACCCCUGGUCCUAGUGCUUUCCUAACUUUUGCUAUGAAAAAGCUUACUUUCUCAAAGAAGAAGCUGGAACCACUCUUUGUGUCACUUAAGAAGGAGAACCUCAAUUAUCUCGUUAACUUGGUGAAAGACGGGAAGCUUAAGACGGUAAUCGAUUCGAAGUAUCCCUUAAGUAAGGCUGAAGAAGCAU